GUUUGAUCAUUGCUCAGAUUGAACGCUGGCGGCAGGCUUAACACAUGCAAGUCGAGCGGUAACAGAUCUAGCUUGCUAGAUGCUGACGAGCGGCGGACGGGUGAGUAACGCGUAGAAAACUGCCCAGUAGUGGGGGAUAGCCCGGGGAAACUCGGAUUAAUACCGCAUACGCUCUACGGAGGAAAGGGGGCUUCGGCUCUCGCUAUUGGAUGUGUCUGCGUGGGAUUAGCUAGUUGGUGAGGUAAAGGCUCACCAAGGCGACGAUCUCUAGCUG
rnacentral:rRNA from 1 species